GUAAUGGGUGAAAUAAAGAUUGCUUUAAAGAAGGAAAUGAAGACUGAUGGAGAACAGCUAAUAGUGGAAAUUCUGCAAUGCAGGAAUAUAACUUACAAGUUUAAAUCUCCAGAUCACUUACCAGAUCUAUAUGUAAAGCUAUAUGUUGUCAACCUUGGAACUCAAAAGAGGGUGAUGAAGAAGAAAACAAGAGUGUGCAGGCAUGACCGAGAACCUUCAUUCAAUGAAACUUUUCGAUUCAGCUUGAGUCCCACUGGUCAUUCUCUCCAGAUUCUUCUUGUUUCCAAUGGAGGAAAGUUUAUGAAGAAGACCUUGAUUGGUGAAGCAUAUAUUUGGCUUGAUAAAGUGGACCUCAGGAAAAGAAUUGUAAACUGGCACAAACUUUUGGUUAGUUCCACACAAGCUCAUUGAGCAAAGAUGUCCUUUUUUGGUGUCAGAGAGAUCAAGCUGGAAGAGUCUACUUGUGUGAUCCCAAGACUCCACUUGACUCCACUUUGAUGUUAGAUUUAGGUAGGCUUUCAGGAUAUGAAAUAAGUAACACAUAUUCUGGGCUACUUAGCGCAUUUUUAUGAGGGCUAGUCCAUUUGUUUUGCUGUGUAAAAACAAAACAGCAAAAGAAAAGGCAUCACCCUUGGCUCAGAUGAUAAAAUAAGUCCACCUGAAUAAGGACUGUGAGCUAAGGGUUCAGUGAUGUUAGAAUCUUUGUAGCCAUGAAGUAAACUAAUGGUACCCCUGCACUUGAAGGCAAGUAGGAAUGCAGAAACAUUGGUUGUAGUUAGAGGCAGAAUCUCAGAAAAUGUAAUCUAGGGUUUUUUGUGCAAUCAGAAGGGAGACCAUUUUAUGCAAAAGCACCCAAGGACUGCCUUUCCAUUCUCACUGAUCAGAAGAUUCAACUAUGUUCUUCUGUACUUCAGAGUGUGCACAGUGAGAUGGUACGGCAAAUGGCAGUAUCUUUUAUUUUUAUCUUACAUAGUAGCAAUGUUUAUAUUUAUUUUCUUGGAGUAUCAGUUUAGAGUAAUAAUCUCAGUGUUUCUCCAUGUGAAUAAUACAAAAUCACCAUCUUAGAACAUGAAGUCCAAAGGAAAAUAGAAAUGGGGAAAGACCCAGGAUGUGUUGUACAGUUACCACUAUAGCAUGAAAUAAAACAUAGCCCUGAGUGUGUGGAAGAAGUCCCAGUCCACCCUGCCUUUUCUGAGUCUGUUGUUUACAAAUAAUGGGGUUGAUUCAAAGGGCUUCUAAACAGAGAUGGAUACUAUUGUGUCACUACCUAUCUUGCUGUUGUGGACUAUGUCUUGCUGUUGUGGACUACAAAGAAUUGAUGUUUCAAAAUGUCUAUAGUUUGAAGCUAUCCAUAUUUUAAAUUCGCUAACUAUGCCAGUGGCUCCCUGCUCAUUCUGGAGUUAUAAAUCAUUUUUUAAAAAAUGACUUCUAGAAUGUGAUACCACCCUCCACAGUAGGUGUAAUGGCAUACAACAUCACAAAUGCACACAUCCAUUCACAAGAGGCAUUCUGCUAAAUAAAAUGCAAGUGAGAAGGUAUUAUAGAUCUUUGUAUGACAAGACCAUAUCUUGGUUAUAAAAUGAGAGAAAUGUUUCUAGAGAUAUCUAAGCCUGCAGCAAUCAUUACCAUCCAUUAGGUAUUUUCUAGAAGCAACAAAAAUGAGGCUACCUAUGGCUUCUGUGAACAAAACUGAAUAUACCUAGCCGUUAACUAUGCUGACUGGCUUUCUAUUCUUAUUAUAGAAACUGUACAGUAUCAAAAGUACAUAUGCACAGCAAAAUAACAAUUUGACUUCAAAUGGCAGUGCUUAUCUUACUACCUUUACAGUUAAAGAAAUAUCUAAAAAUUAUACAUUCUGAACAACCUGUUUUAGUUAAUUUAAUCAGUGAACAUUUUUUCAAGAACUCCAGAAGCUAGAAAAUAUAUGCUGGAAAGAAAGUAUUGAAAUUAUAUUUUAUGUUUUAAGAAAGAAACACAUCAUGAGCCAAUAAAUAACCAAGAAAGGGUUCACAGUCCCAAUUUUGUUUUCUACCACUACUUAUAUCUCAUCCUGUAUCUGUAAUGAGCAGGACGAGAUAGGGUAUAAGAAUAUAUAUUAACAACCAAUGUUCUGACUUAACUUUCAUUUGUCUCCUUAUAAUUAUAUCAAUUUUAAUUCAAUCCUUGAGGGCAGUUGGCAUUGCCAUUCCCCCAGCUCAUAUUGAAAUAAUUUACUACUUCAGCCCAUAGGUACCACAAGAGAAGCAGAAAAAAUAUCUUGCACAGACUGGUACUGUUUCUCUGAAACUGUUUCUGAAACAGCCAGUUCCCUAAUUCAGUGUAAAGGGUAUGGGUGUAUGUGUGAGUUUUAAAUUAUGAAAUGUGCAAUUUGUGCAAAUGAAUGACAAUCUUGUUCUUGCUAAGGUUUAUAACAAAGACAAUGAAUCUUCCAGUGGUUGCCAUGGAGAUUUCAAGAACUAGGAAGCAACAAUUGGAAGCCUAUAAUUAUCACUCUUAACUGAGAAAGUUAGGCUACUGUUGCAACAUGCUAUUACAGGGUAUGGAAUUCAAGAGCAAGAGACUGUUCAUGUCAACACCAAUAUUCAUUUAUUUGUUCUUAUAUUCUUUUCUUAAUUCUGCUACCCUGGGUUAAAUGUCCCUUGCUCUCCACAUUUUUCAGCCACUAGCAUGGGGCCAAGCUCCACUAUUCCAACCCUUUGGAAUUACGCAUGCCGUAACACCCAUGUACCUGAUGAAUGUACCUGAUUUGUGACAAUUUGAGGUUGUUAGGAAAGAUGGUUUCUGUUAAGGCCAGAAUUUCUUUUCUCUUCAUGUUCUUCAUAUAUUAUUCAAUGCUACUGAAAUUGUGAUCCAUCAGCUAAUCGUUUUUGUACCAGUACUGGGACUAGCAAUUGCCUCUGAAGUGUGCCAAGUCUCUUUUGAUCAAAUAUCUGGAUUGUACUAGAAUCAUUCUAUGCAAUGGUGAAACCCAUUUAAUGCAGUUUCCUUUUUAUUAAUGAAGACAACAAAAUCCUUCUUACGGCAAUUAUUUUUUUAUCAGAGAAAAAUCACAGAACCUUAGUAUUUAAAAAAAUGUAUAGAUAUUUCAGUGUAUAUGUUUUCCUCUUGAUGGGGUGGGGGGAAAUCCUGUUAUAUUUGUUUCUUCCUCAGAUAAAAGCAAGACUUCUUAUCUUAGAGUGAACUUUCUCCUGAUUUGGAUUUCUUGAAAAAUAUUGUACUGUUGAUGGCACAAUGAGCUUUAUUGUACAUCACAUGAGUCUGCUGAGCUGAAGAUAAAAGUAGUGUUGUGCAAAAAGCCUUGUUCAGGGCAAAACGUUUGAAAUAUGAGCUAAAGCACAGAAUGUGUAUGUGUAUUGGCAAAGGAGGGAUCAUUUCUGUGAAAGAAUCAUAUAUCUCCAUCUGCUGAGCAACAGGGCUUGAGUUCAGUUGUGAUCCAAACAAGGUCUUUGAGUUCCUGUGAUGAAUACUAAAUUAUUUUCUUGUUAUCACAACCCUUUAAAGGGAUAGUAUCCAGGAGCAAUACAAAUGCUAUUUAUUUUGUUACACUUUAUGCCCUAUCUGCUCCCCUCUAAAAGAACAUAUAUCACUAUUCUUCAAUUCUACCAGAACUAAUAGGAGUACCUCAUUGUGAGUGCACUGGAGACACCAGUAAAAUUUAAAUCUGGAUCCUUAUUGUUACUUGAAUUGUGUUUUUCUAAAUGCCUAAAUCAUUUGUUUGGGGCAGCAACAUGGGGAGUGUGAAUCUGUAGCUGGUAACCAGCUGAUACGGCUUCUUUUUCUUAGGAUGAAAAAGUCAACAGUAAACAUCUCUUAUAUUGUAAGUAAGCUAGCGUGCUUGAUAUAGAAUUAUUUAGCACUUAAUUUCUAAAGAUUUCAUACAGAUUUUAAUGGUAUAUUUUUACCUUUUUAUUUAAAUCAUACCUGAUAAUUAAGUGUUCAAAUCAUAGCUCAUUCUACAUAUGGAAGUAUGACUAUAUCUGAGGGAAAAAAGUAAACAAAAUAAUAGCCUCUUUUAAGUGAUAAAGAAAUCGAAGGAAAAUUCAGUGUAUAUAUUCAGUAACAUCCCAAAUGGAAACUGGGCAAUUUGUCUUUGAACUAGAGAUUUGGAAUAUUCUGGCCAAUUUGCAAUGUAGGAUCAAGAUCUUGAGUUAGAAAUUGCUGCUAGAGUAAAAUAAUAUCUGGAUACUCUCUCUUUAAACUGUAACUUACUUAUUGGUGUUUCCUAUUUUGGGGGGGUUUUUUUGCAAAAUCACAAGCACCCUAAUGGGUUUUUAAAAAACAUAUAGUAUACAUGUAUAUCUAUAUAUCAUCAACUUGGACUAAAAUGAUCUAGAAGAAAGCUGUUUUCUUAAUUUGUUAUCAUCUUGUAAAUAUACAUUUUUGUAUUGAGAAACAUAAAUGAGUUUAGAUUCCAAACCUCAUCUGUCAUUAAGCAUGUCAUUGUCAAUACAAGUUGGCUGUAUUUUGUAAAAAUGUGAGCACUCAGCAGUGGCAACUGACCUCAAUGCCAUCCUUCUGUUAGACAAAAUUUGUAGCCUACCUGAUACUUGGAGUAGUAGUGAAAAGAAUAACAACUAUUCUGGGAAUACCAAAUGAACAGCCAUCUUACAAUAGUCUUUGGAGAGAUGUACUAUUUCCACAAUGAACGUUGCAUGCUUCUGCAGUGUUUUGUUAAAUUUUCUUUUUCAUUUCUGCCUUCUAAUCCUCCAAGAAAAAGAAAACUUUCAAAAUAUUUGAUCAACAUCUGCAAGAAUAUUCAAAUGAAGAAAGACUUUUAAAUCAGUUCUCAGACUGUCUAUAAAAUCCAUGUCAUGGUU